GUUUCCAAACCAGCAAGUGUUUGGAAAUUAGGGGAAAAAAUUAAAUUCUCACCAACGGUUGCUGUUACAGUUAAAUCAAUAAAGAUCUUGAGUAUCACCUUGGUGUUUUAAUUUUUUUUUUUAAUUUCAGGUGAAGUCCUGUUGACACAUUUUGGGCAUCUUGGCUGUCUAGAGUGAAUACCAGCUUUAAAAACAUUCCAAGAAACUCCUGGUUUAGUUCCAGAAAUACGAAGCAGAAGAGAGUCAUGUGAAAAUUCUUGUGGGAUUUGCUUUGUUGCCCAGAGAAAGGCAAACAGAGUCAACGGGAGAAAAGAUUCUGAACUUCCUUUCCUAGAAUAUCAGCACUGGGGAGGAGCUGAGACCCUCUAGUCUACGUGCUCCACCCAUAAUUUUAUGAAAGGAAGAAAAAGUCCCUCAAGGCUACCUGACAGGGCAUGACUCCACCUAGACUCUUUGAGGAUGUUAUCACUGGUCAGCUCUACGUCCUUAAAGCCUAGCAAGGACUUGGCACAUUGUAGGUGCUUGAAUAACCGUGCAUGUGAACCUAGUAACUUAACAGCAAAACUGGAGUCCUGUCCCCCUGAUCUGGUGGCAAGGCCACUUCUCCCCUACAGCCUACCGCCUCCCCAGGCCUUGGCAUCACACCUGGAUGUAUGCGUGGUUGGUCGGAUGGAA